rnacentral:precursor_RNA from 7 species
UACAGCAGGUGCAUCUAUGGACUUUGUUUCAUUCUCCUUCAAUCCAUCUUUGUCAUGAUUUACAAAAAGAACAAAGGUGGCCGUGGGUGAAUGAAGCCAGGCAUCCAAAAAGAAUGAAGGUGAA